rnacentral:rRNA from 1 species
AUUGAACGCUGGCGGCAUGCCUUACACAUGCAAGUCGAACGGUAACGGGCCUUCGGGUGCCGACGAGUGGCGAACGGGUGAGUAAUGCAUCGGAACGUACCUUUCAGUGGGGGAGUAACGUAGCGAAAGUUACGCUAAUACCGCAUAUUCUGUGAGCAGGAAAGCAGGGGAUCGCAAGACCUUGCGCUGAUUGAGCGGCCGAUGUCAGAUUAGCUAGUUGGUGAGGUAAAGGACUCACCAAGGCGACGAUCUGUAGCGGGUCUGAGAGGAUGAUCCGCCACACUGGAACUGAGACACGGUCCAGACUCCUACGGGAGGCAGCAGUGGGGAAUUUUGGACAAUGGGGGCAACCCUGAUCCAGCCAUGCCGCGUGAGUGAAGAAGGCCU